rnacentral:rRNA from 1 species
UACGUAGGGAGCAAGCGUUGUCCGGAUUUACUGGGUGUAAAGGGUGCGUAGGCGGCUUUGCGAGUCAGAAGUGAAAUCUAUGGGCUUAACCCAUAAACUGCUUUUGAAACUGCAGGGCUUGAGUGAAGUAGAGGUAGGCGGAAUUCCCGGUGUAGCGGUGAAAUGCGUAGAGAUCGGGAGGAACACCAGUGGCGAAGGCGGCCUACUGGGCUUUAACUGACGCUGAGGCACGAAAGCGUGGGUAGCAAACAGG